rnacentral:lncRNA from 1 species
AUUGCAAAUAAAUGUCGAUCCGGAGAACCGGAAAUAUAUUGACCCGGAGCGGUCCAAUCUAGAACUAACUAAAUAAAUAUUACUAUAUUAAUAUUUUUUCCCUUAAUAUAAAAUUUCUCGUUCGUCCACUUAUAUUUAUUAAUAUUUAUUUUUUAUUGGUAUUUCAUCCUGUAAGCGAUCUCACGGCGAUCUUCUCCGACCUCCGUCCUCCUCGCCUUCCGCUCCAA